rnacentral:rRNA from 1 species
AGAGUUUGAUCCUGGCUCAGAAUGAAACCUGGCGGUGUGCCUAACACAUGCAAGUCAAACGACAAUUUAUUUGGAGUGGCGGACGGGUGAGUAACACGUAAGAACCUACCUUUAGGAGGGGGAUACCAUCCCGGGAAACUGGUGCUAAUACCCCAUAUGCUGAGAAGUGAAAUGGUAUUUAACCGCCUAGAGAGGGGCUUGCGGCUGAUUAGCUAGUUGGUGGGGUAAUGGCCUCCCAAGGCGACGAUCAGUAGCUGGUUUGAGAGGAUGAUCAGCCACACUGGGACUGAGACACGGCCCAGACUCCUACGGGAGGCAGCAGUGAGGAAUUUUCCGCAAUGGGCGAAAGCCUGACGGAGCAAUACCGCGUGGAGGAAAAAGAAGACCUGUGGGUUGUAAACUCCUUUUCUCAGAGAAGAAUACUGACGGUAUCUGAGGAAUAAGCACCGGCUAACUAUGUGCCAGCAGCCGCGGUAAUACAUGGGGUGCGAGGUUUAUUCGGAAUGAUUGGGCGUAAAGCGUUCGUAGGUGGUUUCACGAAGUCCACUGUCAAAGAUCAGGGCUUAACCUUGGGCAGGCAGUGGAAACUCGGAAACUCGAGUCAGGUGGGGGCUGAAGGAAUCAACAGCGUAACAGUGAAAUGUGUAGAUAUUGUUGAGAACACCGAUGGA